UACGUAGGGACCGAGCGUUGUCCGGAAUCAUUGGGCGUAAAGAGCUCGUAGGCGGCUUGUUGCGUCGACCGUGAAAACCCGGGGCUCAACUUCGGGCUUGCGGUCGAUACGGGCGGGCUAGAGUUCGGUAGGGGAGACUGGAAUUCCUGGUGUAGCGGUGAAAUGCGCAGAUAUCAGGAGGAACACCGGUGGCGAAGGCGGGUCUCUGGGCCGAUACUGACGCUGAGGAGUGAAAGCGUGGGGAGCGAACAGG
rnacentral:rRNA from 1 species